GGGUUGUGAGGUUAAGCGACUAAGCGUACACGGUGGAUGCCCUGGCAGUCAGAGGCGAUGAAGGACGUGCUAAUCUGCGAUAAGCGUCGGUAAGGUGAUAUGAACCGUUAUAACCGGCGAUUUCCGAAUGGGGAAACCCAGUGUGAUUCGUCACACUAUCAUUAACUGAAUCCAUAGGUUAAUGAGGCGAACCGGGGGAACUGAAACAUCUAAGUACCCCGAGGAAAAGAAAUCAACCGAGAUUCCCCCAGUAGCGGCGAGCGAACGGGGAGCAGCCCAGAGCCUGAAUCAGUGUGUGUGUUAGUGGAAGCGUCUGGAAAGGCGCGCGAUACAGGGUGACAGCCCCGUACACAAAAAUGCACAUGCUGUGAGCUCGAUGAGUAGGGCGGGACACGUGGUAUCCUGUCUGAAUAUGGGGGGACCAUCCUCCAAGGCUAAAUACUCCUGACUGACCGAUAGUGAACCAGUACCGUGAGGGAAAGGCGAAAAGAACCCCGGCGAGGGGAGUGAAAAAGAACCUGAAACCGUGUACGUACAAGCAGUGGGAGCACGCUUAGGCGUGUGACUGCGUACCUUUUGUAUAAUGGGUCAGCGACUUAUAUUCUGUAGCAAGGUUAACCGAAUAGGGGAGCCGAAGGGAAACCGAGUCUUAACUGGGCGUUAAGUUGCAGGGUAUAGACCCGAAACCCGGUGAUCUAGCCAUGGGCAGGUUGAAGGUUGGGUAACACUAACUGGAGGACCGAACCGACUAAUGUUGAAAAAUUAGCGGAUGACUUGUGGCUGGGGGUGAAAGGCCAAUCAAACCGGGAGAUAGCUGGUUCUCCCCGAAAGCUAUUUAGGUAGCGCCUCGUGAAUUCAUCUCCGGGGGUAGAGCACUGUUUCGGCAAGGGGGUCAUCCCGACUUACCAACCCGAUGCAAACUGCGAAUACCGGAGAAUGUUAUCACGGGAGACACACGGCGGGUGCUAACGUCCGUCGUGAAGAGGGAAACAACCCAGACCGCCAGCUAAGGUCCCAAAGUCAUGGUUAAGUGGGAAACGAUGUGGGAAGGCCCAGACAGCCAGGAUGUUGGCUUAGAAGCAGCCAUCAUUUAAAGAAAGCGUAAUAGCUCACUGGUCGAGUCGGCCUGCGCGGAAGAUGUAACGGGGCUAAACCAUGCACCGAAGCUGCGGCAGCGACGCUGAUGCGUUGUUGGGUAGGGGAGCGUUCUGUAAGCCUGUGAAGGUGUGCUGUGAGGCAUGCUGGAGGUAUCAGAAGUGCGAAUGCUGACAUAAGUAACGAUAAAGCGGGUGAAAAGCCCGCUCGCCGGAAGACCAAGGGUUCCUGUCCAACGUUAAUCGGGGCAGGGUGAGUCGACCCCUAAGGCGAGGCCGAAAGGCGUAGUCGAUGGGAAACAGGUUAAUAUUCCUGUACUUGGUGUUACUGCGAAGGGGGGACGGAGAAGGCUAUGUUGGCCGGGCGACGGUUGUCCCGGUUUAAGCGUGUAGGCUGGUUUUCCAGGCAAAUCCGGAAAAUCAAGGCUGAGGCGUGAUGACGAGGCACUACGGUGCUGAAGCAACAAAUGCCCUGCUUCCAGGAAAAGCCUCUAAGCAUCAGGUAACAUCAAAUCGUACCCCAAACCGACACAGGUGGUCAGGUAGAGAAUACCAAGGCGCUUGAGAGAACUCGGGUGAAGGAACUAGGCAAAAUGGUGCCGUAACUUCGGGAGAAGGCACGCUGAUAUGUAGGUGAAGCGACUUGCUCGUGGAGCUGAAAUCAGUCGAAGAUACCAGCUGGCUGCAACUGUUUAUUAAAAACACAGCACUGUGCAAACACGAAAGUGGACGUAUACGGUGUGACGCCUGCCCGGUGCCGGAAGGUUAAUUGAUGG
rnacentral:rRNA from 1 species